AGACUGUGCAUGGCUCCCUGUACGUAGCUUCGGGGACCUCUGCCUUGUGCCCAGAUCCAGCCCGCACCUCCUGCUUCUCCCGGCUGGCGCCUCAAGACGCAGCUCGUCGAGCCACACAGGAUCCUGCUCAGCACGGUGGCCUGCUCCUUAAAUCUCAGCAGACCCAGGCCCUGUCGGCGACGCUGAGGGACCUGAGGUCCCGUGCCCAGCCCGGGGGGCACUCCACUCUGCAGAGACUUGGCACGGAGACAAAGGAGGCAUGUCGGGGGCGCCUGCAUCCCAUUGCCACGGCAACGCAGAGCGAACCAGCCAGGAGCCAGGAAGCUGGCGGAACCAGGGACCAGUCCAGCAAUGGCAGGCCGGGGUCCUUGAGCGAUGCCAAAGCAACCGGGAGCAAGGCUGGCAGUGGGGGGCAGAGAGCAACCCACAGCAGCU
rnacentral:lncRNA from 1 species